GACGAACGCUGGCGGCGUGCCUAAUACAUGCAAGUCGAACGCAGUGGGGACGGGUGAGUCACACGUGGGUAACCUCCCCUCAGAGGGGAUAACACUUGGAAACAGGUGCUAAACCGAUAUUGAUGUAUGGACCCGCGGUGCAUUAGCUAGUUGGUGAGGUAACGGCUCACCAAGGCCACGAUGCAUAGCUGACCUGAUAGGGGGAUCGGCCACACUGGGACUGAGAUACGGACCAGACUCAUACGGGAGGCAGCAGUAGGGAAUCUUCGGCAAUGGACGAAAGUCUGACCGAGCAACGCCGCGUGAGUGAAGAAGGGUUUCGGAUCGUAAAACUCCGUUGUUAGAGAAGCGGUAUCUAACCAGUAAGACACGGCUAACUACGUGUCAGCAGCGGCGGUAAUAC
rnacentral:rRNA from 1 species